rnacentral:rRNA from 1 species
UACGAGGGGGCUAGCGUUGCUCGGAAUCACUGGGCGUAAAGGGUGCGUAGGCGGGUCUUUUAAGUCAGAGGUGAAAUCCUGGAGCUCAACUCCAGAACUGCCUUUGAUACUGAGGAUCUUGGAGUACGGGAGAGGUGAGUGGAACUGCGAGUGUAGAGGUGAAAUUCGUAGAUAUUCGCAAGAACACCAGUGGCGAAGGCGGCUCACUGGUCCGGUACUGACGCUGAGGUGCGAAAGCGUGGGGAGCAAACAGGA